UAGGUUUCACAUACAGUACUGUGCAUUUAUCUUAACAGCUACAACUGGUUUAAAGGUGGUGCCUGAAAACCCUGAAUGUAGUGUCAUCUCAACCGCAGCUACAUUUACAUGCAAGUAACAGAAGCUGCUUCUACACCGACACGCCAGGAAGCAUUUACAUUUUGAUCACCUGAUUGGACUGUUUGAUCUAUUACCUAAUUCAGCCCUUUUAGGCAGGGUCGCGGUGAGCCGGAGCCUAACCCGGCAUACACAGGGCGCAAGGCGAGACUACACCCUGGACGGGACGCCAGUCCAUCGCAGGGCACCACACACACACUCACACAGAGGGCAAUUUAGAGUGACCAAUCAACCUGGACAGCAUGUCUUUGGACUGUGGGAGGAAACCAGAGUACCCGGAGAAAACCCACGCGAACACGGGGAGAACAUGUUGCUAUUGUCUGUUAUUCUAAAUAGUGGACUUUUUUAAAAUAAAUAUUUUAUAUUUGAA